AUUGAACGCUGGCGGCAGGCCUAACACAUGCAAGUCGAGCGGAUCGGCGGACGGGUGAGUAAUGCCUAGGAAUCGGCCUGGUAGUGGGGGAUAACGUCCGGAAAUGGGCGCUAAUACCGCAUACUCUCAGCAGCGCCUAGGUCGGAUUAGCUAGUGGGUGGGGUAAAGGCAUACCAUGGCGACGAUCCGUAGCUGGUCUGAGAGGAUGCUCAGCCACACUGGAACUGAGACACGGUCCAGACUCCUACGGGAGGCAGCAGUGGGGAAUAUUGGACAAUGGGCGAAAGCCUGAUGCAGCCAUGCCGCGUGUGUGAAGAAGGUCUUCGGGUUGUAAAGCACUUUAAGUUGGGAGGCGUUACCAGCAGAAUAAGCACCGGCUAACUUCGUGCCAGCAGCCGCGGUAAUUC
rnacentral:rRNA from 1 species